rnacentral:tRNA from 1 species
UAGCUCAGUGAUAAGAGUUUGUGCUUUGCAUGCACAAAGCCCUGAGUUCAAUCCUCAG